CAAUAGCGUAUAUUAAAGCUGUUGCGGUUAAAAAGCUCGUAGUUGGAUUUCUGUCAAGGACAACUGGUCCGCCCUCCGGGUGAGCACAUAGUUUGGUCUUGGCAUCUUGCUGGAAACUGUUGCUGCACUUGGCUGUGUGGCGCAGCGUCCAGCACUUUCACUUUGAGGAAAUUGGAGUGUUUCAAGCAGGCACAUGCCUUUGGACACAGUAGCAUGGAAUAAUUAGAUUGGGCUUUUGCUCCAAUUUGUUGGUUUCUGGAGCUGAGGUGAGAAUUAAUGGGGAUUGUUGGGGGCAUCCGAAUUUAGCCGUCAGAGGUGAAAUUCUUGGAUCUGCUAAAGACGGACAACUGCGAAAGCGUUUGCCCAGGAUGUUUNCAUUGA
rnacentral:rRNA from 1 species